UACAGAGGUCUCAAGCGUUGUUCGGAUUCAUUGGGCGUAAAGGGUGCGUAGGCGGCGCGGUAAGUCGGGUGUGAAACCUCCAGGCUCAACCUGGAGACGCCACCUGAUACUGCUGUGGCUGGAGUCCGGUAGGGGAGCGUGGAAUUCCUGGUGUAGCGGUGAAAUGCGCAGAUAUCAGGAGGAACACCAGCGGCGAAGGCGGCGCUCUGGGCCGGUACUGACGCUGAGGAGCGAAAGCGUGGGUAGCAAACAGG
rnacentral:rRNA from 1 species